rnacentral:tRNA from 1 species
GGACUUCUGGCUUAGUGGAAAGAGCACGGCUUUGGGAGUCAGAGAUCGUGGGUUCUAAUCCCACCUCCA